rnacentral:lncRNA from 1 species
GGGGCCUCCCUUAAGACUAAAGCAAUGAUACGUAGUACGUCGUCUGCAAAUUGAUAUAGAUAGGGGACUGCCAUUUCUGUUUUUUACCACGUGUGGGUAAUCUCUUUUCCCUGUACUAUACACGGUGGUUGUCUCCUGCCACUGCUCUGCUGGUUCCUCAUUUAUAUAUAUAGCUUUAUUAUAUCGCCUGCAGCUGUCCACACCUCUCUCUCUAUCUCUUAUGUGUCCACGUCUGGUUUGUUUCUUUUCGGUUUUGGAGCUUUAAGCUUUUCGUUCCUGGCUUAUAGAGGCAUGGAUAUGAGGUAAAAAAAAAACUAAACUCAACUCUUCGGUGCUUAUAGCUAAAUUAAGGGCUUUCUGUUUCUUUUCAUGGUACGGUCCCCUUUUGAACUAAGAAUUGUUCGUUUUCUUGGUUCAAACACACCACAACAGUCAACAACAACAAAAGCAUCGUUUUUACUUUGUACUUUCUAAGCUAUUGUCCACAUAUUUAGAGCCAAGUAACUCACAAAUAUUUGUUUAUAUUAUAAAAGGACUUGAGGAGUACUAUUAAGUAAUGUUAAUCUUCAAUUUACUUUAUAAUUUUGCACUGUCAAUGCCAAUACAUAGAGUCAUAGAAGUGCAUGAAAGUGCAAGACUGCAGCAACGUGAGAAUCACUGCUCCCAAUAAGCAAUUGCAGACAGUUAAAGAAUCUAGCUAUAUACACAGUUACAGCAGUCUCCAUUGACAGAGAUACCUUGAACGGCAACAGCAGGAGUAAACAGGGAACGAAGAGAGUUGUCAAGUAGCUGAAGUAUCUGCCGGUAGGGGUCCAUUAUUAAUCCACCUUUCACUUGCAUGUAUUUGCAGGUCACUUUCAUUUUUUUUUUUGUAAUUAAUUUCAAUGCAUAAUCUUUUUUUGAACCAUCUUUUCUCUGAUCUGACCCCCCCCUCACACACAAAGAUAACGGUAGCAGACAAAUUUAACUGUUUCUGCUACCUCUCCACCACUCCCUCAAUCAGCUGCUAGUGCCCCUAUUUAUGAUCCUACCUAGCUAUGAACCCUCACCUGCCUCCGGUUCUUGAGAUUUGAGAAAAGCUCAAAAAAUAAAAAAUGGGGUUUGAUUGUCGGCCUGAAAUCUGGAUGUUGGGGAUGUGACCCCCCACCAACUCCAAUUCAAACAACACAACCCUGACUUAUAAAUUCCAACCCUAGUCAAAAAAAUUUCGAGGGUUUUCAGCAGUAGCAUAUAUAGGGAAUUACAAAGGUAUUGGUGCAUAGCAGAUGGGAUGUAGUCGGUAAGAGGGGAAGAAUGGUGUCUGUAUGGUAAUUAUGUCUUUGGAAGGAUUUGGGUGAAAUUGGUAAACAAACAGUGAGCUAGGUAAGGGGAGGGUGAGGACCACCGGGGCUAGCUAGCUAGCUAGCUAGCUAAUUAUGCUGAAGACUAACAUCUUCCCUCUGCUUUAUACAAUGUGAGUGAGGGUACGUGGUUCCCGACAUGAUAUAUAUAUACGUGAAGCUGGGCUGAUUUUGCAACUUCAUACUGCGGUGCUGGCCGGUGGGCAGCCUUGCUCCUUACUGUUACUGUACUAGUAUUAUGUAAUCAAGUAUAUAUGAAUGGUUGUAGUUUUUCAUGCCUCAAAUCAUACAAUAUACUAUCCUUUCCUUUCCUUUUUUUCACUUGAAUGAUGCUAUCGCAAAUCUAGAGUCAAAUCACAUCACACGAAAAUCUGACUUUCCAUUCAAUUUCC